rnacentral:rRNA from 1 species
CCUCCUUGUGUCUUCCUUUUUGUCUCUUGCCCCAUGGGGGGACCCCUGCUGCAGCGACGCCGCGUGGGUGAAGGAGUGCUUCGGCAUGUAAAGCCCUAUCGGCAGGGAAGAAGCAAGACGGUACCUGACUAAGAAGCCCCGGCUAACUACGUGCCAGCAGCCGCGGUAAUACGUAGGGGGCGAGCGUUAUCCGGAUUCACUGGGUGUAAAGGGAGCGUAGACGGCCAUGCAAGCCAGGGGUGAAAGCCCGGGGCCCAACCCCGGGACUGCCCUUGGAACUGCAUGGCUGGAGUGCGGGAGGGGCAGGCGGAAUUCCUGGUGUAGCGGUGAAAUGCGUAGAUAUCAGGAGGAACACCGGCGGCGAAGGCGGCCUGCUGGACUGCGACUGACGUUGAGGCUCGAAAGCGUGGGGAGCGAACAGGAUUAGAUACCCCUGUAGUC